CUGUGUUGUGACACACGGCCGUGUUAAUUAAAACAGUGGAUUAACACGGGCGCCCGUGUGCAGGAACACGACCGUGUUGUUCUUAACGGGUUGAUUUUUGAAAUUUUGUGAUUUUGGGCAAUUUUAAUGUUGGGACCCACUUAAUAUUAAAUCUCUUCCCCACCACUUAUUCUCUCUUUUUCUGAUUUUUUGAAAGCUUCUCUCUCCCUCUUCC
rnacentral:lncRNA from 1 species